rnacentral:lncRNA from 1 species
GAAGAUUUCACAUAUUCAAUUAAAAUUAUCUUAUUUACAAUUCUUUUUUUUAUUUUACUAUUUUAUUUGCAGACUUUCCUUUACAAUCUACUUGUUUCCUUUCUUUUAUCAUCGCUUGAAACGAUAUACCUUUCUUAGAGAUCCCAUUUGAUUUGCGAGACAGCUAUUCACCUUAAGUCCCUAAUUAUAAUUUCUUUCUUCCAUGCAGAAUUCAAACAAGUAAUUAUUUGAGAUCAUAUCAACCUCUGAACCUGAACAUGAGGAUUGUUUACCUUAUGUCAUGGCACACAACAUUACAACAUUACCCAUUCUACCUCUGAAGAUAAUUUUCACUAGUCUUGCAUCGACUAUCUGCAGCAAGAACCUCCAGUAGCAUCAAACAGUAAGAUCCUGAUGGAAAUGCUAAUUCUGUAGCCUAUAAAAUUAGAUUUGAGAUUAAUUAGCAUAUGCAGGGCGAAAGUUUUCAGAACACCUUCGAAUGCCACUGUCUAACUUUUCAUGGUAUAUAGUAGGGUGCCACAUACUCCUUGAAUAUCUACUCAAGAAAAAUGUCACUGUGAAACAAAAAGGGAUAACCAAUAUCAAGCAUAAUCCAUGCCAUAUGCAUUUCGGUUCCUACCCUUCACUGCAGCCAACAUCAAACAGCUAGUCUCAAAUAAAUAAAUAAAAAGUGAUCCUGCCCUUGCCUCCAAGGAACAAACCGUAAUUGCAGAUAGGAUAGAGGCACCACUAGCCAAGGAUGAUGCAACAAAUAAACAUAAAAUACGUGACUACAUUAUUUCCAUCACUAUGUCAUCCAAAAGGCUAUCAAUAACCAGAGGAUAUGAAAAAUAUAACCAUGAAGAAUUCUCCAACACCCACUUUAACAUGUGCACAAUCACAAACUUCCAAUUUUCUCUAAUCACUAACUAGCACUCCAUUACUUUACUCAAAUAAAUCAUGCAGCAAGUUAUCACUCAUUAUCAAAUAAUCAAAGGCAGGUCAUAAUCAUAGAACCACAUCAUACACCAAUUCAUAUAAAAAUGAGAACAAUUAUCAAAACAUAAACAAAGAACAAAUAUAUAGAAUACAUGUACAUUACACUGUGGAAAAGAAAAUAGCCACAAAGGCUAUCGAAAACCAGAAAUGUGAAAAAUAUAACCAUAGAGAACGCUCUAAAUACCCACUACACAAUCAUGAACUCCCAGUUCUCUACCUAAUAUUCCAUAACAUUCCUCAAAUAAAUAAUGCAGCAUGUUAUCACUCAUUAUCAAAUCAUCAAAGGCAUGUCAUACGCAUAGAACCAAAUCAUAAACUAAUUCAUAUAAACAAUGAGAACAAUUAUAUACAAUACAUGUGCAUUGCACUGUAGAAGAGAGAAUAGCAACUAAGGCUAUCGAAAACCAGAUAAUGUGAAGAAUAUAACCAUAGAGAAUUCUCUAAAUACCCACUACACAAUCAUGAACUCCCAGUUCUCUAAACAAUACUCCAUAACAGUCCUGAAAUAAAUCAUGCAGCAUGUUAUCACUAAUUUUCAAAUCAUCGAAGGUAGGUCAUACGCAUACAACCAAAUCAUAUACUGAUUCAUAUAAACAAAGAGAACAAUUAUAUACAAUACAUGUACAUUGCACUGUGGAAAAGAAAAUAGCCACAAAGGCUAUCGAAAACCAGAAGAUGUGAAGAAUAUAACCAUAGCGAAUUCUCAAAAUACCCACUCCACAAUCAAGAACUCCCAGUUCUCUAACUAAUACACCAUAACAUUCCUCAAAUAAAUAAUGCAGCAUGUUAUCACUCAUUAUCAAAUCAUCAAAGGCAGGUCAUACGCAUACAACCAAAUCAUAAACUAAUUCAUAUAAACAAUGAGAACAAUUAUAUACAAUACAUGUGCAUUGCACUGUAGAAGAGAACAUAAGCCACCAAGUUCUAUAAUACCCUUCAAUUCCUCGAUUCAGAAAUAUCAGUUACCGAAUUAGCACACGGUAGCCAAUCUCAUAGGCACCGCUUUCCCUCUCUCGGUAUCACCAAUUCCAUCAGCCACGAUCCUAACAACCUUCUUAAACGCAAAAUGCACGCAAUUCGACAGCGCAAUCCAAUAUAUCACCUCAUAAACAAACCCAUAAGCGAAACCCGAAGACUGGGAAGAAAACCACCAUGAAGGUUCAUCCCAAUCGUGCCCUCCGAAUUUAUCAAAAUUCCACCCUCUCCCCCCACCACCAAAACCUCCUCCAUCCCCGCCCCCGCCCCCACCAAAAAGACCAUCACCGCCGCAAAAAAACCCAUAAUCCUCUCCGAAACCACCGGAGUCUCCGUCAGUUUGCGAUCUCCGCCUGGUCCGCCGCCGCUUUCGGAGGAGAGUGCGGCGUGAGGUUUUGGAUUUGACAGGCGGCGGAGCCAAGGCAUCAACGACGACGGAGCAGAUUUGAGAGGAUUGAUCUGCGAGGUUGAUGCAAUUUUGGCGGUAGAGAAGAAGCGAGUUUGCAGACCCUAGGGUUUGUUGUGUAGCUAUUGUCAAUGUAUCGGCGAUUAGAGAGACGUCCAUCAGGAUUCCUUUAUUGUUGUUGUUAUUGAAAAUUGAAAGAAUUAAGAAUUUCGAAUUUGGUUGGUUGGUUAAGGUUUGGGAAUUAGAUUUUCCGGGAAAAUGAGAAGGAAAAUAGAAUGUUGCAACUGAAACGGACAGAAUUAAUGCGUGGAUUGCGUGACGUGUUGACUGUUGUUGUGUGUUGGCUAGGCGGGUUUUGGGUCAAAAAACGGAAUCCACAUCGAAGCGG